CCUACGGGUGGCAGCAGUGAGGAAUAUUGGUCAAUGGGCGCGAGCCUGAACCAGCCAAGUAGCGUGAAGGAUGACUGCCCUACGGGUUGUAAACUUCUUUUAUAAAGGAAUAAAGUGUGGCACGUGUGCCUUUUUGCAUGUACUUUAUGAAUAAGGAUCGGCUAACCCCGUGCCAGCAGCGGCGGUAAUACGGUGGAUCCGAGCGUUAUCCGGAUUUAUUGGGGUUAAAGGGAGCGUAGCUGGGUUGUUAAGGUAGUCGUGAAAGUUUGCGGCUCAACCGUAAAAUUGCAAUUGAUACUGGCAGCCUUGAGUACAGUUGAGGUAGGCGGAAAUCGUGGGGUAGCGGUGAAAUGCU
rnacentral:rRNA from 1 species